rnacentral:lncRNA from 1 species
GAUUUUUAGGGUUAUGGUCCCAAUAGUUAUGGAAUUAGGGACCAAAAAGGGUCCCAAAAAAAGCAUUUUUGUAGUUUUCAAACAAUAACUUGUGUUUAAGUUUAUGAAUCUCUCUGAAAUUAUGCCACAAGUUUCCAUACUAUAAAGGAAUAGUUAGUAUCGCUUUUUGGGGGUUAUGGUCCCAUUAAUUUAGGAAGUAGCGUCCAAAAGGGGGGGGGGGGUCCAAAAUAAGCAUUUUUGUAGUUUUCAAACAAUAACUUGUGUUUAAGUGUAUGAAUCUCUCUGAAAUUAUACCACAAGUUUCCAUACCAUGAAG